GAUGAACGCUGGCGGCGUGCCUAAUACAUGCAAGUCGAGCGAACAGAUGAGGAGCUUGCUCCUCUGACGUUAGCGGCGGACGGGUGAGUAACACGUGGAUAACCUACCUAUAAGACUGGGAUAACUUCGGGAAACCGGAGCUAAUACCGGAUAAUCUAUUGAACCGCAUGGUUCAAUAGUGAAAGACGGUUUUGCUGUCACUUAUAGAUGGAUCCGCGCCGCAUUAGCUAGUUGGUAAGGUAACGGCUUACCAAGGCAACGAUGCGUAGCCGACCUGAGAGGGUGAUCGGCCACACUGGAACUGAGACACGGUCCAGACUCCGACGGGAGGCAGCAGUAGGGAAUCUUCCGCAAUGGGCGAAAGCCUGACGGAGCAACGCCGCGUGAGUGAUGAAGGUCUUCGGAUCGUAAAACUCUGUUAUUAGGGAAGAACAAAUGUGUAAGUAACUAUGCACGUCUUGACGGUACCUAAUCAGAAAGCCACGGCUAACUACGUG
rnacentral:rRNA from 1 species